rnacentral:rRNA from 1 species
UACGUAGGGUGCAAGCGUUUGUCCGGAAUUAUUGGGCGUAAAGAGCUCGUAGGCGGUCUGUCGCGUCUGCUGUGAAAACUCAGGGCUUAACCCUGAGCUUGCAGUGGGUACGGGCAGACUAGAGUGCGGUAGGGGAGACUGGAAUUCCUGGUGUAGCGGUGGAAUGCGCAGAUAUCAGGAGGAACACCGAUGGCGAAGGCAGUUCUCUGGGCCGUAACUGACGCUGGAGGAGCGGAAAGCAUAGGGGAGCGAACAGG